ACGGAGGGUGCAAGCGUUAAUCGGAAUUACUGGGCGUAAAGCGCACGCAGGCGGUCUGUCAAGUCGGAUGUGAAAUCCCCGGGCUCAACCUGGGAACUGCAUUCGAAACUGGCAGGCUAGAGUCUUGUAGAGGGGGGUAGAAUUCCAGGUGUAGCGGUGAAAUGCGUAGAGAUCGGGAGGAACAUCAGUGGCGAAGGCGGCCAUCUGGGACAACACUGACGCUGAGACGCGAAAGCGUGGGGAGCAAACAGGA
rnacentral:rRNA from 1 species